rnacentral:lncRNA from 1 species
AAAGGAGACCCUGCAGCUGUCCAUCACAUUACAUGUGCAUUCGUCCGAAAAUAAACGUGCAUCCAUGACCACAGUCGUUUCUUGCCCCCCUUCCCCUUCGCCUUUGUUUCCAUGAGGGGAUAUCCGCUUCAGUUAAGACGACAUCAGGCACAGAACGGCUGCGCGUUGAGGCGGCCUUUGCUGUCAUCAUGGCUGUUGCAAUCUCCACCGCCCACAUCUGUGGCCCAUUGCUUCACCAUGUCCAAGGGGUGGUUGAGUGCAGCAGCAGCGGGACAUGUGUCAGUCAAUUAAGUUAUAGACAAAUAGGCUUAGUGGAAUAAAUAUUGACAGGUUGCUAUACUGAAGCACACAAUUAACACGAUGUCGCAAAACCAUGCAAUUCUUGAUGAGCACCCAACCAGCCUAUUUGUAACCCUGACAUGAAAACCAACACAAAACUUGACAGGAAUUCACUUUCUGAUCUGCUGCUAGGUGAUCUGGUCCAGUGCUCGACAUCCAUUGGUCGUGGGGUCUGGCUGCUGCUUGAAACAGCUUCAAGAGACUGCUCUGCCUCCUCGACACUCAUUGCUAAAAUACAUCUGCAUUGAAAACAAAUAGAAGGGCAAAGAACAAAAAAACAUUACAUUAGUUAUCAUGCUUGUGUGCAGGAGCAUCGGACUGCAACCCCUGACGGCGGUGAAUAGCUAGCGUACAUGUCAGAAUAACAGAUAGAAGCAGGUAACAAAGUUCUGUGACGAUGAGUCAUGGUGUGGCCGCCGGCAAUGUGGACCUGGUCAACACAGUCCCGAGUACCUGACCGGGCCUGACACUGCCCAGGGGCACCUAACCG